AACGCACCUUGCGCCCCCUGGUAUUCCGGAGGGCAUGCCUGUUUGAGUGUCAUGAACACCUCACCCCCUCGGGUUUCCGAUCGGGUGGACUUGGGCGCUGCCAGUGAAAUGGCUCGCCUUAAACGCAUUAGCGGUUGUUGACGUAAUAAGUUUCGUCUUGUCGACCGCUCCUAAUCUCCUUCGGGAUGUCUCUGGACACUUCAUGAUCUGACCUCAAAUCAGGUAGGACUACCCGCUGAACUUAA
rnacentral:misc_RNA from 1 species